rnacentral:rRNA from 1 species
UACGUAGGGUGCAAGCGUUGUCCGGAAUUAUUGGGCGUAAAGAGCUCGUAGGCGGUUUGUCGCGUCGAAUGUGAAAUCCCGGGGCUCAACCCCGGGUCUGCAUUCGAUACGGGCAGACUAGAGUUCGGUAGGGGAGUCUGGAAUUCCUGGUGUAGCGGUGAAAUGCGCAGAUAUCAGGAGGAACACCGGUGGCGAAGGCGGGUCUCUGGGCCGAUACUGACGCUGAGGAGCGAAAGCGUGGGAGCGAACAGG